rnacentral:ncRNA from 1 species
AGCAGGCAUGCGCCGGGUAAACUCUUGGUCGUCCGAUGGACGGCAGUCCCUAAUGGGACGGGAUCCUAGAGCCGGGGGCCUGCUUAUUU